GCCCCUGUAGCUCAGCGGAUUAGAGCAAGACGGUUCUAACGUCAAGGUCGUAGGUUCGAUUCCUACCGGGGGCACCA
rnacentral:tRNA from 15 species